CCAGGUAGGUGCUCCACAGGUUCUCUGCAGGGGCGGCAGCGUCACCACCGCAGCCCCACCCAUGUCCCAGGGGCAGCUGAGGGCAGCCCAACCAGAGCCUGCAGGUGUGAGAGGCUCUGGGGCGGGGGGGGCAGCUUCAGCCCAAUGUCUGCAGCACCAGCCGCAGAGGAGACGCUGUCUGGCUAGAAAUCUGACAGGCAAAGGUUGCUGAAGCCAGAGCCCUGCCACUGCCUGCCUCCUAGACAGAAGCCCUUUAUGGCUCCUGGGAGAAUAAUCCAGGCAGCGUCAGGGGCUGGUGACUGGGGGGAGAGGGGCUGCCAGAACUUCCCGGGGGCUGCUGCAGGCCCGGGACACUGGCCAAACAGGCUCUGUCCACCCAAAACCUAGCUGCCAGGAGCCAGGCUGAGGACACCGCUGGGCCUGGAAGGCAGCCAGACCUGCCCCCCUAUUCCUGAGCUGGCCGCACAAGGCCGGCUCUGUGAUCCACUUUCCUUCCAUGCGCAGCCCGGGGGGGGGGCGGGAGCGAGGACGGGAGCGAGGGCGCACCCUGCAGCACGCUGGCGGCCGCACCCGGGAUGCCGGGGACCUCCGUCACGUUGUUGAGCAGGAAGUAGGGGUCGCAGGCGUCGGUGGUGAGGUUGGAGCUGUGGCAGAAGAGGCUCCACAGCCGGGUGGCCACUGUCUCAUUAUCCACCGUGACCGUCUUGGCACAGAUGUCGAACUGGUCCCGGGACAAGGUCCUGUUGCCCAGCAUACACACUCUGCGGGGAGGGGCAAGCAUCAUCACCCGCUCAGCUACAGGUCCCCACCUGCCUCCGCCCUGCAGACUCUAGGACUCAGGACAUCAAAGGCCAUCUACUUGGGAGGGAUGUCAGUCCAACGCCCGGCUGCAUUUCCCAGAUUACUUACGGAAACACGGGAGGGU